GAUUCUUCCCAAUUCUACCGCCAUCAUUCUGGUUCAAGCUACCUGAAGUCUCAAGAGGGGAAGCGAAAUAGGAUCAGAAAGAAUGUUUGAAGAAAUAAUGGUUGAAAAACUCCCAAAUUUGAUGAAAGAGGUGAAUCUACAUAUCCAAGAAGCUCAAUGAACUCUAAAGAGACCCACACUGAGACAUGUUAUAGUCAAACUGUCAAAAGCCAAAGACAAUGAAAACAACAAGAGAGAAACAACUCAUCACAUACAAGACAGCCUUAAUAAAAUUACUAGCUUAUUUCUUAUAAAAAACCAUGGAGUCCAGAAAAUAAGAAUGUCGAUCAAGAAUUCUAUAUCUGACAAAACUAUUCUUAAAGAAAUUCUCAGAUAAACAAAAGCUACAGAAUUUACUAGUAGACCUGCCCUACAAGAAAUGCGAAAGAGAAUCUCUCAGAUUGAAAUUAAAGGACAUCAGACAGUAACUUGAAGCCAUAUGAAAAAAUAAAGAACACUUGUGAAAAAU
rnacentral:antisense_RNA from 1 species